GACGAGCGCUGGCGGCGUGCUUAACACAUGCAAGUCGAACGGUGAAAGCGGAGCUUGCUCCGCUGGAUCAGUGGCGAACGGGUGGGUAACACGUGGGCAACCUGCCCCUCACUUCGGGAUAACUCCGGGAAACCGGGGCUAAUACCGGAUAUGACCUCCUUGGGCAUCCUUGGAGGUGGAAAGUUUUGGGGUGAGGGAUGGGCCCGCGGCCUAUCAGCUUGUUGGUGUGGUAGUGGCUCACCAAGGCGACGACGGGUAGCCGGCCUGAGAGGGCGACCGGCCACACUGGGACUGAGACACGGCCCAGACUCCUACGGGAGGCAGCAGUGGGGAAUAUUGCGCAAUGGGCGCAAGCCUGAUGCAGCGACGCCGCGUGAGGGAUGACGGCCUUCGGGUUGUAAACCUCUUUCAGCACCGACGAAGCGCAAGUGACGGUAGGUGCAGAAGAAGGACCGGCCAACUACGUGCCAGCAGCCGCGGUAA
rnacentral:rRNA from 1 species